rnacentral:rRNA from 1 species
UGCGUAGGUGGCGCGCUAAGUCAGGUGUGAAAUUUCAGAGCUUAACUUUGAAACUGCAUUUGAUACUGGCGUGCUUGAGGACUGGAGAGGAGACUGGAAUUCAUGGUGUAGCAGUGAAAUGCGUAGAGAUCAUGAGGAAGACCAGUGGCGAAGGCGGGUCUCUGGACAGUUCCUGACACUGAGGCACGAAGGCCAGGGGAGCAAACG